GCCCCGCCCCACCCAGAAAGAGAAGCUCACAUAUUCACAUUGUUCAGCAGAGAGCCAGAGACGAGCUUUCUCGGUGCUCCAAUAUCUGCAAGAAAACCCUAAUUCUUAUAAUCUACAAAAUUGUUUAUCUAUCUAUCUAUCUGAGGCGGAGACGAUGACGGAGGUGGCGAGCUCCGUGGUGCACGAGGUGCUCGGCCAGAGGGCCCAGGACGUGGAUCAGCCUAUCAUCGACUACAUCGUCAACGUUCUCGCCGACGAGGACUUCGACUUCGGCGACGACGGUGAAGGCGCCUUCGACGCCAUUGGCGAGCUCCUCGUUGCCGCCGAAUGCGUCUCCGACUUAGCCGAGUGCCGCUCGGCUUGCAGCAAAUUGUGUGAAAAAUUUGGAAAGCAUGGGUUGGUCAAAUCUACACCAACUGUGCGGAGCCUCGCAACACCAUUCAGAAUGAAUGAAGGAAUGGAUGAGGAGCAAGUUCCAAAGAAGAAACCUGAGCUGUUGGAGGGUCCUUCGCUAUCUGAACGUAACCGAAGGAAGAAAGAUAGAGAAAAGCGCCAGGAGGAACGCCAAAGAGAGGCACAAUACCGAAUGCAUUUAGCAGAGAUGGAAGCAACCAGAGCAGGAAUGCCUGUUGUAUGUGUAAAUCAUGAUAGUGGUGGUGGACCGGUUGUCAAGGAUAUCCAUAUGCAGGACUUCGAUAUCUCUGUGGGUGGUCGUGACCUCAUUGUGGAUGGUUCAAUCACACUGUCAUUUGGAAGGCACUAUGGCCUUGUUGGAAGAAAUGGUACAGGGAAAACAACUUUCCUUAGGUACAUGGCUAUGCAUGCAAUUGAUGGUAUUCCUGACAACUGUCAGAUAUUGCAUGUGGAGCAAGAAGUGGUUGGUGAUGAUACAACAGCAUUGCAGUGUGUUCUUAACACUGAUGUUGAGAGAACCCAGCUUUUGGAAGAAGAAACUCGUCUGGUUGCCCAACAGAGAGAAUUAGAGUUUGAGGAUGCACUUGGAAAGAGCAAUGGGGAGCUGAAUAAGGUGAUUGACAAAGAUGCCAUUUCACAGAGGCUUGAUGAGAUAUACAAAAGGCUUGAUGUAAUUGAUGCUGAUUCUGCCGAGUCACGUGCGGCUUCCAUUCUUGCGGGCCUCAGUUUCACUCAAGAGAUGCAGCAGAAGGCUACAAAAGCUUUUUCUGGAGGAUGGCGAAUGCGAAUAGCUCUUGCUCGUGCAUUGUUUAUAGAGCCCGAUUUGUUGCUACUUGAUGAACCCACUAACCAUCUUGAUCUUCAUGCAGUCCUAUGGCUGGAAACAUACCUGGUGAAAUGGCCAAAAACUUUCAUAGUUGUUUCGCAUGCAAGAGAAUUCUUGAACACGGUAGUCACAGAUAUUCUUCAUUUACAUGGGAAAAAACUGACUGCUUACAAGGGGGAUUAUGAUACAUUUGAGAGGACGCGAGAGGAACAGGUUAAGAACCUACAUAAAGCAUUUGAGGCAAAUGAACGCUCCAGAGCUCAUAUGCAGGCCUUUAUUGACAAGUUCCGCUACAAUGCAAAGAGGGCAUCUCUUGUCCAGUCAAGAAUCAAGGCAUUGGAUCGGAUGGGUCACGUGGAUGAAAUUGUCAAUGACCCUGACUACAAAUUUGACUUCCCAACACCAGAUGACAGACCAGGUCCCCCUAUAAUAAGUUUCAGCGAUGCAUCAUUUGGUUAUCCUGGGGGGCCCUUAUUGUUUCAGAAUUUGAAUUUUGGGAUUGAUUUAGACAGCCGCAUUGCAAUGGUUGGCCCAAAUGGCAUCGGCAAAUCAACUAUACUCAAACUAAUUGCAGGGGAACUACAACCAAGCUCUGGGACUGUUUUCCGAUCUGCUAAGGUUCGGAUUGCUGUUUUUAGUCAGCACCACGUUGAUGGGCUCGACUUAUCUUCAAAUCCCCUUUUGUAUAUGAUGCGCUGCUUCCCCGGUGUGCCUGAGCAGAAGCUCCGAGCUCACUUGGGUUCAUUUGGUGUAACUGGAAAUCUUGCACUUCAGCCAAUGUACACUUUGUCAGGUGGUCAAAAAAGCAGAGUUGCAUUUGCGAAGAUAACUUUUAAGAAACCACACAUAAUAUUGCUUGAUGAGCCAUCCAAUCAUCUGGAUUUGGAUGCUGUGGAGGCACUAAUUCAGGGUCUUGCUUUAUUUCAAGGAGGCAUUCUCAUGGUUAGCCACGAUGAGCACCUAAUAUCAGGCAGUGUAGACGAGCUAUGGGCGGUAUCGCAUGGAAAGGUUACACCAUUUCAUGGCACAUUCCAAGAUUAUAAGAAGAUACUGCAGUCGUAAUAGAAAAAGGUUGUCAGAUUCAAUCCUUUUCAAGGAGUGGGCUACCCUUGGUUGCCAAAAAUUACAGGGAUGUAAGCUCUUACAGAAUACUGUAGAAACAAUUUUGAAGGUUGUCCCAGUCAUCAUAGAUGUUAACAUUCUGCUAAAAGGAUGAGAGAUGGCCCUUGUGACCAUUCUUGGCUCUCUAAAUCUCUUUCAUCAUUCCAUCCACCAUAAGGUUAAAGUUCCAGAAUCAAGAACAUGUGCAUGUAAUUCUUUGGUCCAAGUAAAACCAGAUUCAUCCUGUUUAUUAGCUGGAUUUAGAUGAGUUGUAGGUGGCUGUUUUGAAUAAUUUUGCUUUUGGAGGGGCUGUCGAACACAGAUGAUACUGUUUUUCUUCAGUUCUCACUACCACAUGGAAUUUGAUGUAGGAAAUGUUUGUUUGAGUGCUUCCAUAGCCGAUACCUUCUGCAGUCUGUAGAGUAGGAGAGAAUGAAUCAGUGAGAUUUCUUCAUAAUAAAA